rnacentral:rRNA from 1 species
UGGGGAAUCUUCCGCAAUGGACGAAAGUCUGACGGAGCAACGCCGCGUGAGUGAAGAAGGUUUUCGGAUCGUAAAACUCUGUCUUUUGGGGCGAACGUGAGUAUGGUGAACAAUCAUAGUCAGUGACGGUACCAAAGGAGGAAGCCACGGCUAACUACGUGCCAGCAGCCGCGGUAAUACGUAGGUGGCAAGCGUUGUCCGGAAUUAUUGGGCGUAAAGAGCGCGUAGGCGGGAUAGUCAGUCUGUUGUAAAGUGCGGGGCUCAACCCCGUGAUGCAAUGGAAACAGCUAUUCUUGAGUGCAGGAGAGGAAAGUGGAAUUCCCAGUGUAGCGGUGAAAUGCGUAGAUAUUGGGAGGAACACCAGUGGCGAAGGCGACUUUCUGGACUGUGUCUGACGCUGAGGCGCGAAAGCCAGGGGAGCGAACGGGAUUAGAUACCCCGGUAGUCCUGGCCGUAAACGAUGGGUACUAGGUGUGGGAGGUAUCGACCCCUUCCGUGCCGGAGUUAACGCAAUAAGUACCCCGCCUGGGGGUACGGUCGCAAGACUGAAACUUAAAUGAAUUGACGGGGUCAUAGCUGUUUCCUG